rnacentral:rRNA from 1 species
UGCCAGCAGCCGCGGUAACACGGAAGGUGCAAGCGUUGUUCGGAAUCACUGGGCUUAAAGCGCGUGUAGGCGGAAUGGUAGGCGUCUUGUGAAAUCCCUCGGCUCAACCGGGGAACUGCUUGGCGAACCCCCAUUCUUGAGACAGGCAGAGGCAACUGGAACGUUCGGUGGAGCGGUGAAAUGCGUAGAGAUCGAACGGAACACCUGUGGCGAAAGCGGGUUGCUGGGCCUGUUCUGACGCUGAGACGCGAAAGCGUGGGUAGCAAACAGGAUUAGAUA